GCCGAAGUGGUGGAAUUGGCAGACGCGCCGGACUCAAAAUCCGGUGGCCGCGAGGCCGUGCGGGUUCGACCCCCGCCUUCGGCACCA
rnacentral:tRNA from 3 species